rnacentral:lncRNA from 1 species
UUUUUUUCCUAUGGGUAAAGAAACAAGAAAGCAAGCUUGUUAGAAAAAUAAGGGAACCCAAAAACCAGUAAAGUCCUAUAUGAAGGAUAAGAAAUAAAGUUCAUGAUUUUCCUCUAAGGUUUUUGCAACUCUUUGAAGUCACAGUGCCCUUUUUUUUUAAAUCAUUGUUACUUUCCACUCUGCUUUGCAGAUUAAAAAUAAUUGACCCUUACCUUGUUAGUAGGUAGGAUUUCCCUGAAUGUAGAACCUACAAUAAAGUGAAAUUUAAUGGAUAACAAAUUGAUGUAACAAAAGCACAUAAGUUCCAAAAAUGUUAAAGUAACCUGGAGGACAGCCUUCUAAUACAGGCUUGGAGAUAACCCACUUGCCAGCUUUUUGCCCGCCCAUUUACCCUGGGUGACACUUAGCGGGUUCAUCUCCCUCAUACAAACACAUGUGAUUCCCAGGCAGAUGUCCUCCUCCAGAGAAAGGCCCAACAGGAAAGAGGGCAGUUACACAAAGGAAGAAAUCAACACUGCCUAACGAGAAUAAUGAACCAAAGCUUUCACUCAAAUGUGGGUAGACAACAAAAAAUUGUCUGAGGUCCAAAGAAAAUCAACAACAUGAGCAAGAGAGAACACGGCGAGAAAGGGGCAAUUUCAAGCUAUAGAAGAAAGACACACAAACUAUUAACACCCAAAUACCAUAAAAAUUACAGGAUGCUUCAAAAAGAAGUGACCUGAGAACAUCAAAACACUUAGAAAGUUACACCACUGUCAAGAGAAAGAUAAAUAUAGGUCUGGAACAUAAAUGUGAAUAUAGUGCCCAGAUUUUUACAUCUUAAAAGGAGAAAAAUAUGAAAGAAAGAUAACACAGAUCAAUUCAGCAGAUAAAUUAUGUGAUGAAUGAGCAUUAACACCAGGGAAAAGCAGGGAAGAAUGGAGUGGAGGAAUGUAUAAAAGAAACAACAUGGGAAAAAAUAUCCCAAAUUACAAGAGCACAAGAAUUUAUAUUGAGGGAGUUCCUGUUGUGCCUCAGCAGGAAAGAACCUGAUUAGCAUCCAUUGGGAUGCAGGUUUGAUCCCUGACCUUGUUCAGUGGGUGAAAGAUCCUGUAUUGCCAUGAGCUGUGGUGUAGGUCACAGACACGGCUCGGAUCCUGCAUUGCUGUGCCUGUAGUGUAAGCUGGCAGCUGCAGCUCUGAUUUGACCCGUAGCCUGAAAACUUCCAUAUGCUGCAAGCGAGGCCCUAAAAUUAAAAAGGAAAAGAAAAAAGAAAGAAUUUAUAUUGAAAUAAAUAGGAUCCUAGACACCAAGACCCUAAACACAUUAUAAAUAUGUCCUGCCAGGCAGGAGGAGUAAAUUGACAUCCAUGUUUACUCUUUCACUGGAGCCAAACAGGACUCUUUUCAUUAUCAUGAGCUAAGAGUAGCAGAAGAGGGUCAGAUUUAAUAUGGACAUAAUACUUUAGCACCAAAGUGAAGAUUAAAAUAGCAUCAAUGCACACAGUGAGAAAGGUUUUGUAGUAAUUCAAAGAGGGUGACUAAUUGUUUCACUGUUAUCUGCUGAAGAUUAUACAAAAUUACUAGAUACCAUAAAAGAAAACGAGUAGGAUUGAAACUAUUCUCAAAAUACUGUGUAAGUAUGUGUACUAGUUUAACCAGUCUUGAUUGAACAAAGUAUGUUCUAAAUAUUAUUCUCAAAUGUUUGAACGUAUUCUAAAAUAUCUGAAUAGUAAUUAAAUCAGUAUAUAUUUCACAGCUUUUAUUUAUAUGCUUCCAAUUGUUUUUCAAAAAUAUUAGUCACAUUAAAAAAUGUAUGUCAUUUCAUGCGCUAACUCUACACAUUUUAUUUAGAGACGAUUGAACAAAAACCUAAAAAGACAUGUCUCAAAAUAUGGAAAAGGAAUUAUAAAGAAGUAUUAUAUUCAUUCACAUUCUGACUUUUCCACCUAAUCAUGUUUAUUUAUAUAGAUAUAUAUUACUUAAAUAUAAUUAUUCAUAUUUAUACCAGUUAUUCAAUAAUGAAAAACAUUACUUAUAAGAUACUAUGAUGUUUACUGAAAGUCAUAUUUAAUACCAAAUAGAAAAUUUCACGUAUUCUGCUUAAAUACAUUUUUAAAUUAAAAGGGCAGAAAGUAUAGAUAAAUGCAAAAUUAUCUAUGAACACUUACAUAAUUUCAACAUAAAAUGUUCACAUAAACUUAUAAUUAAUUGUGUUUUGAUUGUCAGGUUUAAAACAUAACACUU